CCUACGGGAGGCUGCAGUGGGGAAUUUUCCGCAAUGGGCGAAAGCCUGACGGAGCAACGCCGCGUGAGGGAUGAAGGCCUCUGGGCUGUAAACCUCUUUUAUCAAGGAAGAAGAUCUGACGGUACUUGAUGAAUAAGCCACGGCUAAUUCCGUGCCAGCAGCCGCGGUAAUACGGGAGUGGCAAGCGUUAUCCGGAAUUAUUGGGCGUAAAGCGUCCGCAGGCGGCCUGACAAGUCUGCUGUUAAAGCGUGGAGCUUAACUCCAUUUCAGCAGUGGAAACUGUCAGGCUUGAGUGUGGUAGGGGCAGAGGGAAUUCCCGGUGUAGCGGUGAAAUGCGUAGAUAUCGGGAAGAACACCAGUGGCGAAAGCGCUCUGCUGGGCCAUCACUGACGCUCAUGGACGAAAGCCAGGGGAGCGAAAGGGAUUAGAUACCCUUGUAG
rnacentral:rRNA from 1 species